rnacentral:rRNA from 1 species
AACGUCCGGAAACGGACGCUAAUACCGCAUACGUCCUACGGGAGAAAGCAGGGGACCUUCGGGCCUUGCGCUAUCAGAUGAGCCUAGGUCGGAUUAGCUAGUUGGUGGGGUAAUGGCUCACCAAGGCGACGAUCCGUAACUGGUCUGAGAGGAUGAUCAGUCACACUGGAACUGAGACACGGUCCAGACUCCUACGGGAGGCAGCAGUGGGGAAUAUUGGACAAUGGGCGAAAGCCUGAUCCAGCCAUGCCGCGUGUGUGAAGAAGGUCUUCGGAUUGUAAAGCACUUUAAGUUGGGAGGAAGGGCAGUAAAUUAAUACUUUGCUGUUUUGACGUUACCGACAGAAUAAGCACCGGCUAACUCUGUGCCAGCAGCCGCGGUAAUACAGAGGGUGCAAGCGUUAAUCGGAAUUACUGGGCGUAAAGCGCGCGUAGGUGGUUCGUUAAGUUGGAUGUGAAAUCCCCGG